rnacentral:rRNA from 1 species
AUUGAACGCUGGCGGCAUGCCUUACACAUGCAAGUCGAGCGGCAGCACGGGUGCUUGCCCCUGGUGGCGAGUGGCGAACGGGUGAGUAAUACAUCGUAACAUGUCCUCUAGUGGGGGAUAGCCCGGCGAAAGUCGGAUUAAUACCGCCUACGAUCUCCGGAUGAAAGCGGGGGACCUUCGUGCCUCGCGCUGUAGGGUUGGGCGGUAGCUGAUUAGCUAGUUGGUGGGGUAAAGGCCUACCAAGGCGACGAUCAGUAGCCGGUCUGGGAGGACGACCAGCCGCACUGGGACUGAGACACGGACCAGACUCCUACGGGAGGCAGCAGUGGGGAAUUUUGGACAAUGGGCGAAAGCCUGAUCCAGCAAUGCCGCGUGUGUGAAGAAGGCCUUCGGGUUGUAAAGCACUUUUGUCCGGAAAGAAAUCCUUGGCUCUAAUACAGUCGGGGGAUGACGGUACCGGAAGAAUAAGCACCGGCUAACUACGUG